UAUCAAUCCGCUUCAGCUGUGUGUCUGCAUCAGGAAUACUCUCACACCUGCCACACCAUCGAACAGCUGUUGCACUGUUCUGUGAAAUACCUCUGGUGCCGAAAAGAUACCAAAAGGCUUGAUUGCAUGUCCAGGGGAUUCCAGUGGUUUUAACUGAAGCCUAACAAAAAUCAAGCAAGGUGACUGCACUAUUGCUCUGUUUCAUUUUGUUAUAGUUUUAACAGUUUUGUCUGGAACUCAGCUUGGUCAAUUUUGUUAUUUUUAUGUGUUUUAUUUGAGUUCGAAGCACUGGCACAGGAUUGGGAUGUUAUGUGCUUCUCUAAAGUGGGAGGGGUUGGCCAUGGUACCUUGUACUGGUGUGUUCACUUGGAGUGCUGUGCUUAAC
ensembl:lncRNA